rnacentral:rRNA from 1 species
AUUGAACGCUGGCGGCAGGCUUAACACAUGCAAGUCGAGCGGGCGAGGUUGCUUCGGUAACUGAGCUAGCGGCGGACGGGUGAGUAAUGCUUAGGAAUCCGCCUAUUAGUGGGGGACAACAUUCCGAAAGGGAUGCUAAUACCGCAUACGUCCUACGGGAGAAAGCAGGGGAUCAUUUGACCUUGCGCUAAUAGAUGAGCCUAAGUCGGAUUAGCUAGUUGGUGGGGUAAAGGCCUACCAAGGCGACGAUCUGUAGCGGGUCUGAGAGGAUGAUCCGCCACACUGGGACUGAGACACGGCCCAGACUCCUACGGGAGGCAGCAGUGGGGAAUAUUGGACAAUGGGGGGAAUCCUGAUCCAGCCAUGCCGCGUGUGUGAAGAAGGCCUUUUGGUUGUAAAGCACUUUAAGUGGGGAGGAGGCUUACCUGGUUAAUACCUGGGCUAAGUGGACGUUACCCACAGAAUAAGCACCGGCUAACUCUGUGCCAGCCGCCGCGGUAA